ensembl:lncRNA
CUCUUCUGCGUGGGAAUAACAACCAACAGCCCUUCUGCCCUCACCUUCAGAUGCCACCCCUCAUCCCGGCCUCAACUUGCCAUCAGCAGGGGCACCACUGACGGCCCCUGCAACAUCCAGGGGGACUGCAUUGCAGCGAUCGUUUGUUUUUGGGGAGGGGUGGUCUUGGAAAUAAAUAAAUAAUGCAAAGAGAAGCCUUGGUGGCUGCAGGGAGGGGCCAGCGGCUGGGGACUGGUCCCCAUUACUGCAGGUUAAAUCCAACUCAGCAGCUGAUUGUGGGCGAACUGAUCCAUUGCCUGAGCUGAGCUAAUCAGACUCUGUCUUAUGGGGAUUUGAAAUUCAGGCACUGAGAAACUCAGUGGGUAAGAUGAAGAUGGUGCUGGAACUGAAAGUUUGUUCCAAGUGAGACCAUGUGGAAAGCAGAGGAAGCUUACUGAGAGACCAAAGUGAAGAAAGAAGAAGAGCAUGGCCAAGAUGAAACCCACAGAGAGAGAAUAACCCGGGCUUCGUUCCAGUUCCAGUUCCAGUUAUGACUUGGCCUGUAUCUCAUUUGUUUCCUGUCUGUACUUUCCAUUCUUUUUAGGAUUGCCUGUUGCAUCUUUACAAUAAAAU